rnacentral:RNase_P_RNA from 1 species
CCAGUCGGCCGGGCAGCCGCGCCGCGCAUGAGGUCGAAAGGCCGCGCGGUGAGGAAAGUCCGGGCUCCACGGAAACACGGUGCCGGAUAACGUCCGGCGGGGGCGACCCCAGGGAAAGUGCAACAGAGAGCAGACCGCUUCGCCCAGCCUUCACCGGCAGCGGAGUAAGGGUGAAAGGGUGGGGUAAGAGCCCACCGCGCUGCCGGCAACGGCAGCGGCACGGUAAACCCCACCGGGAGCAAGACCGAAUAGGGACGACUUCGGCUCGCGAGCGAUCGCGGGCGGGCCCGUUUCCGGGCCUCGUCGUCCGGGUAGGUCGCGCGAGGCAGGGCGCGAGUCCUGUCCCAGAUGAAUGGCUGCCGCGUUCCCGCACCUCGUGCGGGAGCCAUACAGAACCCGGCUUACAGGCCGGCUGGCAAU